rnacentral:rRNA from 1 species
UACGUAGGGUGCAAGCGUUAAUCGGAAUUACUGGGCGUAAAGCGUGCGCAGGCGGUUUUGUAAGUCUGUCGUGAAAGCCCCGGGCUCAACCUGGGAAUUGCGUUGGAGACUGCAAGGCUUGAAUCUGGCAGAGGGGGGUAGAAUUCCACGCGUAGCAGUGAAAUGCGUAGAGAUGUGGAGGAACACCGAUGGCGAAGGCAGCCCCCUGGGUCAAGAUUGACGCUCAUGCACGAAAGCGUGGGGAGCAAACAGG